AAAGCUGGCCAGACAGUCGCUGCCUAUGACUUCAUAGGGAGAGGAAAGUCCGGACUUCACAGAGCAGGGUGCCAGGUAACGCCUGGGCGGCGCAAGCCGACGGCAAGUGCAGCAGAAAGAAGACCGCCGAUGGUUCUUAGUUCGCUAAGUUCACAGGUAAGGGCGAAAGGGUGCGGUAAGAGCGCACCGCGCUACUGGUAACAGCUAGCGGCGAGGUAAACCCCACCCGAAGCAAGACCAAAUAGGGUUCCGUACGGCGUUGCUCGCGUUGGAACCGGGUAGGUUGCUGGAGCCAUCGAGUGAUUGAUGGCCUAGACGAAUGACUGUCCACGACAGAAUCCGGCUUAUCGGCCAGCUUUUCUU
rfam:Kangiella geojedonensis strain YCS-5, complete genome.